AUGUCAAAACCUGAAGACACUAUCGAUACUGGCGCUCUGGAAAUGAAAUCCUUGCAAUUGGACAUCAAGACGUUGCGGCAAGACAGGGAAGAGGACAAGAAAGAAUUCUACGAAUUCACGGCGUCAGUUAACAAGAAUUUUGCCAGCAUCCAGCGCAAUUUUCAGAAGAUUCAGGCCAGUCUGCAAAAGCUUACUGACAGCACUUGCAACGAUGAGGAUGAGGAAGAGGAAGAACCUCCAUCUGCACAAGCAAGUAACCAUGCUACUCCCCAGACUGUGCCUCCAGGAAGACCCAAGCAACUGCCAAGCAACCAUCUGGCAGCAGACAAAGUUGCUUGA
rnacentral:rRNA from 1 species